rnacentral:rRNA from 1 species
ACGGGAGGCAGCAGUGGGGAAUAUUGGACAAUGGGGGAAACCCUGAUCCAGCGACGCCGCGUGAGUGAAGAAGUAUUUCGGUAUGUAAAGCUCUAUCAGCAAGGAAGAAAAUGACGGUACUUGACUAAGAAGCUCCGGCUAAAUACGUGCCAGCAGCCGCGGUAAUACGUAUGGUGCAAGCGUUAUCCGGAUUUACUGGGUGUAAAGGGAGCGUAGACGGCAUAGCAAGCCAGAUGUGAAAUGCGGGGGCUCAACCCCUGAACUGCAUUUGGAACUGUUAAGCUAGAGUAUCGGAGAGGUAAGUGGAAUUCCUAGUGUAGCGGUGAAAUGCGUAGAUAUUAGGAGGAACACCAGUGGCGAAGGCGGCUUACUGGACGAUAACUGACGUUGAGGCUCGAAAGCGUGGGGAGCAAACAGGAUUAGAUACCCUGGUA